rnacentral:rRNA from 1 species
AGUGAACGCUGGCGGUAGGCCUAAUACAUGCCAGUCGAGCGACCGCACAAUAAGCGCUCGCCCCUACGGGUGGCGACUGACGGACGGGUAAGGCAUACAUCGCAUUCUAAUUAUUCGUGGGUGAUUACGUAGGGAAACUUACGCUAAUACCUAAUAUGUCCUACGGGUUAAAUCAGUAGAUCUUCGGACCUUGCCCGUUUCAAUGAGCUGGUGCCGGAUUAGCUAGUUGGGGGGGUAAAGGAACACCAAGGCGACGAUGCGUAGCUGAUCUGAGAGGAUGAUCAGCCACACUGGAACUGAGACACGGUCCAGACUCCUACGGGAGGCAGCAGUGGGGAAUAUUGGACAAUGGGCGCAAGCCUGACGCAGCAACGCCGCGUGAGUGAAGAAGGUCUUCGGGUUGUAAAGCCCUGUUGUUAGGGAAGAAAAAAAGUAUGAGUAAAUAUGCCUGUCUUGACGGUACCUAAUGAAUAAGCACCGGCUAACUUCGUG